AUGUAUACCAAACAGAGUGCAUGUGUAAAUUACUAUAUAAUAGAGGGGGAAGGACCUUUUACGGGAUGUCAGGAUCAGGUGCUUUUAAGCUCAAGAUUUGACGAUUGACCCUUUCGGGAUCUGGCUGGUUUUCUUUUUUGGAAAUUCGGGAUGUCAGGAUUUUUUUUUUCUAAAUUUCCGGACCUUGAUCAGGAUUUCAUAUUUUUAAGCUCUGGAUUUUAGGAUCAUUUCGAGGUCCAAAGUGUCCACAAUUAAACUUUGCUUGAUAAUCAUCAGAUAUUUAUUUCUUCAAAAACUGAAUUAUUGCUGCUCAAUCAGACAUAUAUGCUGAAUCUUGUUGUGCAUUUAGAUUUUUAUUUUGGGCCCGGUUUUCAAAUUUAUGUCCCCAUUAAGGUUUGAAGGGUCCCAAAUUAAACUUUUGUUCGAUUUAAACUAAAAUUAUUUUUUUUGUGUUUUUUUUUUUUAAUAU
rnacentral:lncRNA from 1 species